rnacentral:ncRNA from 1 species
AAGCAAAGAUAAAAACGCAACGCGCAUUUGCGCAAGAGCCGGUAGGUAGCCCGGCCGUCCUGUUAUUACAGGGUAAGUAACCUGCCCCUCCGGGUUGUCCGUUCUUUGCUCAUU